AAUGAACGUUGGCGGCGUGGAUUAGGCAUGCAGGUCGCGCGACAAGGAACCUUCGGGUUCUGGAGGAGCGGCAAACGGGGUAGUAAGGCAUCGGAACGUACCCUCUUGUUGGGAAUAGCCGCGGGAAACUGCGAGUAAUGCCCAAUAAUCCCUACGGGGCAAAGGUCCGCCGCAGGAGGAGCGGCCGAUGUGAUACCAGCUAGUUGGUGAGGUAAUGGCUCACCAAGGCUUAGACGUCUAGGGGGUGUGAGAGCAUGGCCCCCACCACUGGGACUGAGAUACUGCCCAGACACCUACGGGUGGCUGCAGUCGAGAAUCUUCGGCAAUGGGCGCAAGCCUGACCGAGCAACGCCGCGUGCGGGAGUGAAGGCCC
rnacentral:rRNA from 1 species